UAUGUGUGAUUCUGUGGUAAAAAAGCAUCCAUGACCAAUUAAGUAAAUAUUUAACACCAAUCAAUUAAUAAAAUUAACAAUAGGCAAAGAUUCCUACAGUUGUAAAUGCUAUGGGGAUAAUUAAAAUGGAAUCUAGGCAUCAGGCAAUCAUUGCUCCCAAACCACAUUAUGGAGGGGGCACAUCCUUGGAAGACACAGUACUCUGCACUCAAUGGCAUUUUCCAGUGAGAAAAAGCUGUGAGAAGCCAAGGAUUCCCUGCGGCCUUGGGUAGAUAGUGGGUAAAUGACCCCUGAUGUUGCUCCUCUUGGCACUUGUUUGCUUUUCCCAGAGGAGUGUCCCACAGGGUUGGUGUCCUUGAGGCAGCUGUGGCUCAGGCUGAGGAAACCUCAUACAUGAAAUAAAUCCACCCCCAGCAGGCAGGUGGUUUGUCUGCUUUUUAAGUUUUUGUUGAAAUCUGUGUAUUUUGAAUGUGUGAUGUUGUAACUCUCAAAAUCAGAUUGUCUCCCUACUCCUUCUUGGCUGAUGUUGCUGCUCAAGGGUGCAGUUAUUCGUUUGUGUAGUUGACUCUUCCAAAAUAAUUUUGCAAGGACUUUGUUAUCAGAGUGAUCCAUAAAGUUUCUGUUCAGUUACUUCUAUGGGCAAAAAUUAACCUGACAGAGAUUUUCUUAUGCCUGUUUCUUUCUUCAUCAGUACUUGCCUCAAUGCUGCGAAUGUGGGACUAGAUUUCCUCAUUUUAUUAUGGUUGAUACACACACCUUUCCAAUGACUUUAUAGGGAAUGAUGCUAAGUAAAAAAUUCCAACCCCAAAGUCUGUCUACUACAAUAGGGUUGUAUUUGUAUCACGUUUUUGCAAGACAAAAUGUGACACAGGGCUGUCCUGGGAAGACCCAAGAUCCAAUUAAAUAGAUGAUACAAGUAUGUUCUUAUCCAAAAGCCUCAGGCCACUAUAGGAGGUAAAAUACAGUAUCCUUCAAAUAGAGAUCUCCACCUAGAACAUAUGCGGUGGAAUUACUGUCCAGGAGACCCGGACGCGGAGGGAGGCUGAGUCAGGGCAGACUGGGCCCAGGACCCUGGAAAGGGAGAAACACAGUCUAGUGAGUCAGUGCUGGGCCCAGGUGAGCCUGAGGAGCAGGAGACCAAGGAUCAGCCCAGAGGUCCCUGUGGCCCCUUCCCUGGAGGCAUCACCUGUGCCCUGAGUGAGGAGGGUGAGGAGGAGCAGAGCCCAGGCCAUGGUGGUGACGUCCUGAGAGCGCUGCCUCCUGAGACCCCAGCACUGGGCCUGCCGGGCACAUGUGGGUGGGACCCUGUGAAGGGAACAAGGAGCACCAACCAGGGCCACAGUCCUGAGCCUGAGUCCGCUGCUCCCAAUCCUGCCCCUCCCACUCAUGAGCAGGUGACUUGUCCUUCCCAGCCUCUGGUUCUCAGCCUGAUAAAUGGAGACCACAGAGUCCGUUCUGCAUACAGGUGAUCCAUGGGGAUAUGAGCCAGCAGGGAAAAGGGAAAGUUUGCUAACAGGCCUUUCUAUGUGCACCAGAGUGAUGUUAUCUUGAAAGGUUUAUUGAAAGAUUUACUUCCAUUUUACUGUGAUUUAUGUGUCAGGUCACAGAGAUGCACGUUUCCGGCUUUCUUACUUUCCCCCAUCUGAGCACAUCCUCAGGACAACCUAAAGCUGACCUCUCUCAACCCUUCGACACUGAAGACACACAGACAUUCAAUAAAGACAUUUUUAGUUUUUCCUCCAAAUGCGUUUAAUCUUUCUUCAUCUU
rnacentral:lncRNA from 10 species